rnacentral:rRNA from 1 species
AUUGAACGCUGACGGCAGGCAUAACACAUGCAAGUCGAGCGGGGAAAGGUAGCUUGCUACCUGACCUAGCGGCGGACGGGUGAGUAAUGCUUAGGAAUCUGCCUAUUAGUGGGGGACAACAUUCCGAAAGGAAUGCUAAUACCGCAUACGCCCUGCGGGGGAAAGCAGGGGAUCUUCGGACCUUGCGCUAAUAGAUGAGCCUAAGUCAGAUUAGCUAGUUGGUGGGGUAAAGGCCUACCAAGGCGACGAUCUGUAGCGGGUCUGAGAGGAUGAUCCGCCACACUGGGACUGAGACACGGCCCAGACUCCUACGGGAGGCAGCAGUGGGGAAUAUUGGACAAUGGGCGAAAGCCUGAUCCAGCCAUGCCGCGUGUGUGAAGAAGGCCUUUUGGUUGUAAAGCACUUUAAGCGAGGAGGAGGCUACCGAGAUUAAUACUCUUGGAUAGUGGACGUUACUCGCAGAAUAAGCACCGGCUAACUCUGUGCCAGCAGCCGCCGUAAGAC